CGCGCAGGCGGCUCUUUAAGUCAGGCGUGAAAGCCCGAGGCUAAACCUCGGAAGUGCGUUUGAUACUGGAGAGCUUGAGUACGGGAGAGGGAAGUGGAAUUCCUGGUGUAGAGGUGAAAUUCGUAGAUAUCAGGAGGAACACCGGUGGCGAAGGCGACUUCCUGGACCGAUACUGACGCUGAGGCGCGAAAGCGUGGGGAGCAAACA
rnacentral:rRNA from 1 species